GAUUUUGUGGUUGACAACACCAUGUCUGGCUGAACCCCUGUGAUUGUUCAGUCUCAAAGGAAAUGCCCAGCUGCACACUGG
ensembl:snoRNA